rnacentral:rRNA from 1 species
GACGAACGCUGGCGGCGUGCUUAACACAUGCAAGUCGAACGACGUGGCGAACGGGUGAGUAAUACGAGGGGAAGCUGCCCUCCUUUUUGGGAUAAGCAUUGGAAACGGGGUCUAAUAAAGAAUAGAGGGGGAUGGGAUCGCGGCAUAUCAGCUUGUUGGUGGUGUGAUGGCCUACCAAGGCGGUGACGGGUAGCCGGCCUGAUCGGGUCACCUGCCACAUGUGGGCUGCGCUACGUCCCAGCCUCCGACGGGCUGCAGCAGUGUGGGAUAUUGCACAAUGGGCGAAAGCCUGAUGCAGCGACUCCGCGUGGGGGCUGAAGGCUUUCGAGUUGUAAACCUCUUUCGCUAUCGCACGGGUAGGUGGAGAAGAAGCGCCGGCUAACUACGUGCCAGCAGCCGCGGUAAUAC